UUGAGCAUGCCAAUUAUCAACCCUCCUCAGUCUGCUAUUUUUGGCAUGCACUCUAUAGUCACCCGGCCAAUGGUUGUUGGGGGAAACAUAGUCUCGAGGCCAAUGAUGUACAUUGCAUUGCCAUAUGAUCUUCGACUGAUAGAUGGAAGGGAGGCUGUUUAUUUCUUACGCCGCAUCAAAGAUGUUGUGGAGGACCCUCGUAGGCUUCUUCUUGAUGUAUGAGAAGCCGCAUAUGGUAUAGUUUUGUUUUUUAUAUACGAGUAAGUUUCAAAGAUGGAACUUUAUACUACGGAUCUGUCACUUCUUCAAGUUCUUUCCUUGUUUUUUGUUUUUUUGGCGUUACGCAAGUUCUUCAAUUGCUGGAUCCAUACUUCGUGUCCCAACAAGAGGCCUUACUGCAUUUACUUUUAUGGGUGUGCGUGGUGGAUUAAAGCUACGUUGCUGGGAACUUUCUUCAGUAUCUUGUGAAGCCUUUGAAUUUUAUAAUUUAUUGUAGAGAUUGUUCUAUAAAUUUCCCGCGAACAGACACACUGAGGAAGA